rnacentral:rRNA from 1 species
UACGUAGGGUCCGAGCGUUGUCCGGAAUUACUGGGCGUAAAGAGCUCGUAGGUGGUUUGUCGCGUUGUUCGUGAAAACUCACAGCUCAACUGUGGGCGUGCGGGCGAUACGGGCAGACUAGAGUACUGCAGGGGAGACUGGAAUUCCUGGUGUAGCGGUGGAAUGCGCAGAUAUCAGGAGGAACACCGGUGGCGAAGGCGGGUCUCUGGGCCGAUACUGACGCUGAGGAGCGAAAGCAUGGGGAGCGAACAGG